GACACCUGUAGAGCCACAGAGGG
rnacentral:piRNA from 1 species